AACAACGGCAGUGGCAAUAUCGUAACCAAUAAAGGCCUCCUGAGGUACGAUUAUUGCUAGUUGAAAACUUUUAG
rnacentral:snRNA from 1 species